rnacentral:rRNA from 1 species
UACGAAGGGGGCUAGCGUUGCUCGGAAUCACUGGGCGUAAAGGGUGCGUAGGCGGGUCUUUUAAGUCAGGGGUGAAAUCCUGGAGCUCAACUCCAGAACUGCCUUUGAUACUGGGGAUCUUGAGUCCGGGAGAGGUGAGUGGAACUGCGAGUGUAGAGGUGAAAUUCGUAGAUAUUCGCAAGAACACCAGUGGCGAAGGCGGCUCACUGGCCCGAUACUGACGCUGAGGCACGGAAAGCGUGGGGAGCAAACAGG